UUUUCGAGAUUUCACUUUCGAUUAUUUAACAAUUGAAGUUAGUUUCCUUCAAAAAGUAUUCCAUUUGCAAUAAAAAUAACUUACGUUCGUGAAGUAAUAACAACAAUUAAUAAUUCCCUAAAAAAACAACAAUUAAUAAUAAUAAUAAUAAUAAUAAUAAUAAUAAUAAUAAAAGAAUUUGUUUUGAGUUAAAAAAAAAAAAAAACUUUUCUGUUAUACUCCAGCGCAUUAUAUGUUAAUCUGAGCGACGCCGCACCCCUACUCCAAACCAAAACCCAAAACCCUAAUUCGGUGGCCUCCCUCGCCUCCCUUUAAGUAGCACCCUUUCUCUCUUCAUUUUGCAUCGCCGCUGCACACACACACACACACACACACACACAUUUCUAACUUUUUCAGGUUUCAUAGCUUUUGAAGACUGAUUUUAAUUGAUUUGUGGGCAAUGAUGAGUAUUGUGAUAGGUCUCGUUCGUCGUAAUGGCAUAUUGUUUGCCUUGCCGACCAUACUGAUAUAUCACCACCCAUAAACUGAGUCCUCCCAUUCCAAAAUUCUAAUUCUCAUUUCUUUUUCUAGGUUUAUUUUAUUUGCUCCCCUUUUUUGCUUGCUUAUAUGUUUACCGAUGAUUGUGUGCUCAAUUGUUGGCAAGCAUAUCACCGGAUCCAAGCACGGACAUCAGUCCAAUUUCUCUAUGACGAUGCUAUUUGCUCGUAUAGUGUUGGAUUCUUUUUUGAAUUUUCCGUGUUCACAUUUCCGAAAAUCUACUCUUGUUUUUGGAAAAUUUGAUUGUUGCCUAUGAUGAUUGAAGUGGAAUUUUAUUAAUGAUUAUUCGUUGAUUAUGAACACACUACUGCCUUCCUUCUGAGGCUUGUUGCAUCCAAUUCAAAUUCCUUUUUUAUUGCCUUAAAAUUUUUGGAUCUCUGUUCCACUAGACUUGUAUAUAUAUACUUUUUUUCGUAAAAUUACUUCUCUGAUCGGUCAAGUGAUGAUUAGAUGCAUAGUUCAAAUGACUAAUUCGUGAUUAUAAUACUCUUUAGUCUUUCGCUCCUAUCUGAUGACAUUAGAUCAAAAGGUUUUGCUGAUUAUAUUUUCCUUAGUUGAGUUUUGUAAAUAUAGUAGUAAUAUUCUUUUAAAUCUCUCGGAUUUUCAUCUAUGGGCCUAUGAUUAAAAACUUUAUAAAGACAAGCAUAUGUCUGAAUAUCAUGUGUAGACUUUCUAAUCUUCUCAAUGAGGCCUCAAUUAUUAUUUUUCAAACUUAUUUUAGUUUUCAAAAUCUUUUUGGAAAAGUGAUUGUAUUAAUUUUACAUAAGUAAUUUGAGUGGAAAUUCAGGCAGCCUCCUUCUGUCUUAAAGAAGAAUGGGAAGGAAGGUGUUUAUCUGCUCGUAUAAUGACCUUUUGCUCUUCAGACUUGCUGAUUUAUUCUUUGAAGCUGGUCUAGUAAGCUCAAGAACAUUUUUUUGUUCAUCCAAUAUUUUUUAUUUUUAAGUUAAUUGUAUUAAUGUUGAUUUCAGUGUUGAUUGUUGCUGGCUUCGCUAUCUGGUUGUUGGAUUUAACUUAGUAUCCUAUCAACUCGUUCCCUAGAAGCAAUAGUAGUUGUGUUGCUCUGUUUUUAUCACUCCAUCUUCUUGUUUGGUUGUUGUUGGAGAUCAAUGGGGCAGCUACAUUUUUCUACUAUAAUAUGUGGUGAAAUGGCGAUGAUGAGUAAUUUUACAGACCUGUAAUGAUUGCGGAUAUGAUCGCGAUUAUUGAACAUCUAAGGGACUGAGCCAUUUCGUUUUCUUGUCACUUUACUUUUUUUUUUUUUUCAAAUAUUAAAAUCUCUACUGCUUUGCUUGUAUUUUGUAUCUUGUCAUACGAAACACAAGUUUGUGUGGCAUUUACAACAAGUGAAGCUAUAUAAACAAGUUCCCCUCGCUAUCCGGUGAUGCUCCUUUCUAGUUCAUUUGGACGUUGGCGAACGACAUUCAUUUCAAUUUUUCUUGCCCUAGUGCUCGAUUGUGCUGUGCGGCUUGAGCUGCUUCUAGGCUGGUGAAUCGGUUGAGGGUGUGUUCUUUAGCGCCAGGUGCAAGCGUGUUUGAAGAAGGCAUUUGCAGUCGGGAGUGCGAAGGGAGUAUAGGCGGCAUUGGAGCGGCGGCGUUUGGAUUUUAAGGAAUAAUUUAGAAUCCUUGUAGAUAUCAAGAAUGUGUGGAGUUUGCAGUUGGGUAGUGGCAGAGAAGGAAUUAUAUUCACUUUCUGCAAAUAUAGUAUGGUUUUGUGGAAGAAACAGACCCCAAAUUUUAGAAUGACCUUCGCUAUUCCAAAAUGUUUGAAAUGAUAGUUGUAAUGUAUUAAAAGUUAUAUAAAAAUGAUAGAUUUGGAGAAA